GACUCUUUCCUGCUCAACUUCUUCCGCAUCCUGAGCAUUUUGUCCUUCAGCUUCUCUCUUCUUUUUCUCCUGCCGAAAACAAACAGGUCAAAGGGCCUAUUGGUUGCUGCGAGGACAAGGAUGCGGUCCGAUGGUUUUGAGGAACUGAAUUUUCCCCGUCAGUUUUGGCCACCGAAGCGGGUAUUUCUGCUUCAGUCUUUACACCAGGAGCAGAAGUUUCAGACUUUCCUUCUGGUUUCACAGCAGCUGCUUCCUCUCUCUGCUUUAUUCAGGAUGAUACAUAUCGAGACAUAAAUGACACACAGAUCAUAUCAGUACCUGGUAGAUAUUAUUCACAACUAAAUGAACAUCACAAUCGCGACAAGCAGUUCAAACCUCAGCUGUUACUGCUUGAGCUUCUAAUUUCAUUGUAUCUCUUCCACCGAGUUUUCCCUCCUGGAAUAUACCGAGAGCAUGGGACAAACUGUUUCAAAAACAAUAAAGCUCUUUGUUAUUCAUUAAAUGAUAAGAAAUUGCUGACACGACAACCUCUUCUAUAGAGUUACUGAGAACCAUUGCGUCUUCUACGCGGAUGGAAUCGAGGUCAUGACAAUCAAGAUC